rnacentral:tRNA from 1 species
GAAGAUUGAAGAUUGAAAUUCUUCCUAGCGCU